rnacentral:rRNA from 1 species
CCUGGGGAGUACGGCCGCAAGGUUAAAACUCAAAUGAAUUGACGGGGGCCCGCACAAGCGGUGGAGCAUGUGGUUUAAUUCGAUGCAACGCGAAGAACCUUACCUACUCUUGACAUCCAGAGAACUUUCCAGAGAUGGAUUGGUGCCUUCGGGAACUCUGAGACAGGUGCUGCAUGGCUGUCGUCAGCUCGUGUUGUGAAAUGUUGGGUUAAGUCCCGCAACGAGCGCAACCCUUAUCCUUUGUUGCCAGCGGUCCGGCCGGGAACUCAAAGGAGACUGCCAGUGAUAAACUGGAGGAAGGUGGGGAUGACGUCAAGUCAUCAUGGCCCUUACGAGUAGGGCUACACACGUGCUACAAUGGCGCAUACAAAGAGAAGCGACCUCGCGAGAGCAAGCGGACCUCAUAAAGUGCGUCGUAGUCCGGAUUGGAGUCUGCAACUCGACUCCAUGAAGUCGGAAUCGCUAGUAAUCGUAGAUCAGAAUGCUACGGUGAAUACGUUCCCGGGCCUUGUACACACCGCCCGUCACACCAUGGGAGUGGGUUGCAAAAGAAGUAGGUAGCUUAACCUUCGGGAGGGCGCUUACCACUUUGUGAUUCAUGACUGGGGUGAAGUCGUAACAAGGUAACCGUAGGGGAACCUGCGGUUGGAUCACCUCCUUA